rnacentral:rRNA from 1 species
GAUGAACGCUGGCGGCGUGCCUAAUACAUGCAAGUCGAGCGAACAGACGAGGAGCUUGCUCCUCUGACGUUAGCGGCGGACGGGUGAGUAACACGUGGAUAACCUACCUAUAAGACUGGGAUAACUUCGGGAAACCGGAGCUAAUACCGGAUAAUAUAUUGAACCGCAUGGUUCAAUAGUGAAAGACGGUUUUGCCGUCACUUAUAGAUGGAUCCGCGCCGCAUUAGCUAGUUGGUAAGGUAACGGCUUACCAAGGCAACGAUGCGUAGCCGACCUGAGAGGGUGAUCCGCCACACUGGAUCUGGGCCACGGUCCAGACUCCUACGGGAGGCCGCAGUAGGGACUCUUCCGCAAUGGGCGAAAGCUGACGGAGCACCGCCGCGUGAGUGAUGAAGGUCUUCGGAUCGUAGAGCUCUGUUAUUAGGGAAGAACAAAUGUGUAAGUAACUAUGCACGUCUUGCCGGUACCUAAUCAGAAAGCCACGGCUAACUACGUG